rnacentral:rRNA from 1 species
AAGAUUAAGCCAUGCAUGUCUAAGUAUAAAUUCUUGUACGAUGAAACUGCAGACGGCUCAUUACAACAGUGAUAAACUGCUAGACUUUCGGGUUUUUAACCUUUUGGAUAACCGCAGUAAAUCGGGGCUAAUACAUAGAAGCGAUGGGUGACUGGCAACGGAAGCUCAGCGAUUAUUAGCAUUACUACCAAUACCUUCGGGUCUUGUGGUGAAACCGAAUAAUAUUGCAGAUCGGGGAUUUAUCUUCGACAAGUCUACUGUGUCACUGCCCUAUCAACUUUCGAUGGUACGGUAUUGGCCUACCAUGGUUGUAACGGGUAACGGGGAAUUAGGGUUCGAUUCCGGAGAGGGAGCCUGAGAAAUGGCUACCACUUCUACGGAAGGCAGCAGGCGCGCAAAUUACUCAAUCCCAAUACGGGGAAGUAGUGACAAUAAAUAUCAAUACCUAUCCUUAAUUGGAGGGCAAUUGAAAUGAACACAAAUUAAAACUCUUAAUUAACACAAUUGGAGGGCAAGUCUGGUGCCAGCAGCCGCGGUAAUUCCAGCUCCAAUAGCAUAUACUAAAGUUGUUGCAGUUAAAAAGCUCGUAGUUGAAGUUAAAGUUUUAUUGGACUCAAGUUUUUUACCACUCUGGUGGCUAAAAUAACUCCAAUAAUUCUUUUUUUAAUAGCUCAGUUUCUAGGUCUUUGACUCUAGUUAUUUGGGCAUUUCACUGUGAGAAAAUUGUGGUGUUUAAAGCAGGCGUCUCGUCUGAUCUUUUGCAGCAUGGUAUGAUGGAACAUGACAUUUUACG